CAGUAACCAAGACAGUGCAGUAAUGGCAUAAUCAUUGGCUUAGAUUUAAGACUCAAACAUCUAUGGUCAACUGAUUUUCAUCAAGAGUUCCAAGAUCUUUCAAUAGGAAAAGGAUUUAAUAGUCUCUUAAACAAAUGGCACAGGGACAACUGGAUAGCCACAAGCAAAGAAUCAAUUUUUACCUUUUUCUCACACUAUAUAAAAAAAUUAUCUCAAAAUGGAUCAAAGCUCUAAAUGUAAAUGCUAAAACUAUAAACUCUUAGAAGAAAACAUAAGGGUAAAUCUUCAUGACCCUGGGUUUGGCAUAAUGUCUUAAGAUAUGAUCCCUAAAGUGCAAGUAACAAAAGAAAAAAAUCGAUAAUAGGACUUCAUCAAAAUUUAAAACUUUUAUGCUUUAAAGAACACUAUUAAGAAAGUGAAAACAAGGCCGGCCAUAAUGGCUCAGGCAUGUAAUCCUAGCACUCUGGGAGGCCAAGGCAGGUGGAUUGCUUGAGCCCAGCCUAGGCAACAUAGCAAGACCCUGUCUCAUUAAAAAAUAAAAAUAAAAUGUAAAAAUAAAAAGCAAAAACAACCUUCGGAUGGAGAAAAUAUUUGCAAAGCACAUAUCUGAUAAGGGACUUGUACCCAGAAUAUAUAGAAACUUACAAAUCAGUAGAGGAAGGGAGGGAGGGAGAGAGAGAGGGAGGGAGGGAGGAAGGAAGAAGAGAGAAAAGAACCCAAUUAAAAACUGGACAAAGGAUUUCAAUGGAUAUUUCUCCAAAGAAGAUAUACAAAUGGUAAAUAAGCACAUGAAAAUAUGCUCAACAUCAUCAGUCAUCAGGGAGAGAUAGCACUUCGCACCCACUAGAAUGGCCAUAAUCAAAAGGACAAGUAAUAACAAAUGUUGACAGGGAUGUAGAAAAAUCAGAACCCUCUUAUGAUAAUGGUGGGGAUGUAAAAUGGUGCAGAUACUCUGGAAAACAGUCUGGCAGUUCUUCAAAAGGUUAAAUAUAGAAUUACUAUUUGACCCAACAGUUCCACUCCUAGAUACAUAUCCAAGAGAAAUGAAAACACAUGUCUACACAAAACCUUACACACAAAAAUUCACAGCAGCAUUAUUCAUUACGGCUAAAAGGUGGAAACAAUCCAAAUGUCUAUGAACUGAUGAAUGGAUAAGCAAAAUGUGGUAUAGUCAUACGCUGCAAUAUUAUUUGUCCAUAAAAAGAAUGAGGUACUGAUACAUGCUACAACAUGAGUGAACCUUAAAAACAUUAUACUGAAAUGUUUAAAGUGAAAGAAACCACCCAUAAAAGACCACAUAUUACAUGAUUCCACUUAUGACAUGUCCAGAAUAGGCCAAUCUAUAGAUACAGAAAGUAGCUUGGUGGUUGCUUAAAGCAGGGGGAAUAGGAGAGUUGGGGGUGAUAGCUGAUGGAUAUGGGAUUUCUUUUUGAGGUCAUGAAAAUGUUCUACAAGUUGACUGCGGUGAUGGUUGUAUACUUCAAAUGGAUGAAUUAUAUGAUAUGUUAAUUAUAUCUUAAGAAAGCUGUUACUCCCUGCAUAAAAAGAAAUCACAAUAAAUGUAAAUAGACUAAAUUAUUCAGUUAAAACACAAAAGUGAUGAGCCUCUAACAUGGCUCAGCAUGACACAGACAGGGCUGGGCUGGGGAAAGUUACUAAGACUCUCUUUGGUAUCUGCCCAGCUUUCUCACCACUCCAGCUCUCAAUCUCAGAAACAGUGGGCCAGGAGCACUGUCAUUUCUCUACUCUUAUACUCACUCCUUCUGGAGACCUGAAAAUGAAGACAUUCAGACUAAACUGGAAUGAGUCCAUCUCCAAGGGGUCACUUCUGCCUAACAAAUAAGUGGCCCCCAAAGAGUUCAGGUCUCUAAAGGGGCCCACUGAAGGAAUGACUGGUAACAAGAACUACUGGGAAAUGGGCCACUCCUCAAGCAAAUCCAGCUACUGAAUUGGGUACAAUCAGCACAAGGGAACUGGAGGUAGAAAUGAUACAGAUAGUUUUCAUCACUUUCUGGUGGUGGGCCAUGGAACUAUACAGUCAGGCACAGUACUUAGAGUUUGCUUGGAUGUUAAGAGCACAGACUCUGGAGUUUGAAUCUGGGCUCACAGUUUACUAGCUGAAUAACCUUUGGAAGUUAGGUCCCACUAUGCCUCAGUUUCCUCACCCAAAAAAUGGAGAAAUAAGUUUCACGUAAGACUUGAAACUGUGCCUGGCACAUGAAAAGAGUUCUAGAAAUACUGAUCGUUAUUAUUUGUUAUUAUUACAGUUUCAUAACACUAAGCUCAUUUGACCUUAUCAUAACCCAUGAGAGGAAUGGCGAUUGCUAAUCUCCUUUACGGAUGAGAAAACUGAGGUGCAGAGAGAAUGAGUGACUAGCCCAAGGCUCCACAGGUGGCUGCAGAGGGCCAGCAUUGGAGGACAUGACUCCUGUUUCGGCCAUCCUGCUGCUCUACCACACCCUAAAUAGCAUCUAGUGACCCAAAUUAUGAUUUCUACUCUGCCAAUCACCAGCUGCCUGACCUUAGGCAAGUCGCUUAGGUAACCACCCAACUCUUUCCAUCUGUAAAAUGAGAGGUGAGCUAUGUAGGUGAACACUAAGAGCCCUUGUUUAGCUAACAUUCUGUGAUUGCAAGGGGAGCGCAAGUGAACUGGAUGUGAUGGGCCACAGAACAAUGAGCAACCUGGAGAGCGGGAAGAGAGGGUUUUUCUAGAACCAUGUGUUCGAAAUUGGGAGUCCUCAGAGGGGCUGCAGGAAGCGUGCAAGAAAAACGGAAGUGAGAUUCCAACAGGAGGGCACCACUGUCCCUGUCUGACCUUAAACCAGGAGAUUUUGUACAGAUGUAUUCCUUCAAGAAAACCAGCUUGUUGGCAGUAAUAGAGAAGAAAUGAGCUUCUCCCAACAACAGCCAACAACAGCCAAUGACAACAGCAAAAUAGGAAAAAGGGUUGCCCUCUGAAAGGUAAAUAAACUCUAUACACAAUAAAUGACCAUCUGUGGAAGUAAAACCGAGAGACAGGCUUUACCACCUCCCAGAACUCCAAUCCAGAUGACCACGGAUAAAUCUCUAGCACGCGGAAUAGAGAUGUCACGGCUGUUAGGUAAGCAGAGAGUAAUGCAGGGUAUAUAUUCCUGGAAGAGAACAGGGUUAGUCAAACUGGAUCUCAGAAAAGGGAGCUGCUGUACAAGACAUUCUAGGAAGCAAGCCUCUGAAUUCUGAAACCCAGACCUGCUGGUCACGGUGGGGCAGGGAUGAUCUUCCAAGCUUCCCUGCGGUCUGCAUGAAAUUCUCUCACCCACACCAGCUUCCUGUGCUCCAAUUCCAUGCCUCUGACUGGUUUCCACUUAAGAAUUAAUGGGUAAAAAGGAAAAAGAAUUAGUAGUAUGAUCUUGUUGCUUCCCCAGAGUCAUCAAUAAAAAGGCAGAACAGAGAGAAAACAAAACAAAACAAAGUUAUACCAGGAGACAGAACUGGGAGAUCUCAGAUCGUCUUCUCUGUGAAUCGGGUGUUGCUACUGAAGCCGUGAUAAUCCUGGUCACCUGAGGCAGAAAAUAAACAUUUCUUCCUACAAAGAAUGUGGGCAUUUUCCAGUGGGAUUUGUGAGCCAGCAAAGACUUAGCAGCAGUUUCUUCACUGCCAAAAAUCUCUAACUUUCCAUGAUGAAAAACUAUUGUUGUCAUUGACCGGCUUUACGAAAUAUUGGCUUACGUUUUAAUCAUCUGUUGAGCAUCAGGCACUAUCCUGGGCACCUGUGAAUCCAUUUGGUCCUCGCAGCUAUUCUAUGACAUGGGCACAUUAUCCUCCUUCACAGAUGAAGAAACAAGUUAAAGAGAUGUUCCCAAAAGAGUUAAGUUAGGAGCAAAGUUAAUACUUGAACCCAAAUCUGUUUCCAGGGUUUUUAUGCCUUUCACUACACCUGCUUUGCAGGAAAGUGAUGAGAAUUUCUAGUAGACGCUGAGUAGGGGCGGUGCUGCACGGCACUCACUGUUUCUGAGAUACUGGUGAUGGGACAGAUAACCGAGAAGGAGACACUGGUGAAUUCUGAAAGGAAGGUGUGCCUCAGCAAAGGCCGCAGGGGAAGACAGGAGGUUCGCUCGCUCACCUUUAUUUGGAAAGCCUUCCUCCCACAUUCCCUAGCAAUGCUAGUCAGUCCCAGGGGUUUGGAUGGGGCUGGCUGCCCGUGGCCCCUGAUCCAGGGGUUGGGGGCAUUGUUGGGAGCAGAGUCCUCCAUGGGACUUCUGCUAGAGCAAUCAGUGCAGACGUGCUCUUGUUUGGGGAUUGCGAUCUGAAGGCCCCCAGAAGCUUGCGACUGCAGGCAGCCAUCUGUCCAGAGACCACCUAAUCAAGAAACCCCUGACACCCUCAUAGGAGACGCCUGCCAUCCAGCUGUACCUAGAGGAGAUCUACCACCCCCUCUGUAACUUUCAGUUUUGUGAAUCAGCACAUUCAUUCUCUCUCUCUCUCGAUCUCUCUCUCUCUCUCCAAAGUGGCAUUUGUCUAGAUGGCUCAGAGUGUGGUCCUCAAUCUUGCAGAUUCGGAUUCAGUUCUGGGACAGCCUCACUAAAUUGCCCUUUUCCAGCCUGUUUCCUCCCUGUAGACAUUGGCAGGGUGCCUGGCAAGCCCAGCCCAGGCUCUUGUCUGUGACAGAUCUGUCACCUUUUAACUCUUUCCCAGGCUUCCUUGUUUACAUUAACAUGUUUCCAGCCAGAGCGGAGAGCCGUAAACAUCUUGAGGGCUGGGGCGGUGUCUGACUCAUGGCUGGAUUCCCCCAAGCCAAUGCAGAGCGGGAACCUAGCGACACUCAAACACGUUUAAGAGUAAAUUUCUGUUUGAGUCACCAAAGUAAAGAAAUCCAGUCCCCAGUACCAAUUGAAAUAAACCACAAAACACUUUGCCGAAUGGAAACUUGUUCUGCAAUGGUAAAGCAUGACUUUAACUUUAGCCAAAUUACUUCCCAGGAGUUAAACUAACUCAUGAUCUCACUGUCCACUGAAAAAAACUGUUCUUAGUCUGUUUGAGCCAUUGUAAUAUAGACUGGGUAACUUGUACACAGCAGACAUCUAUUUCUCCCAGGUCUGGAGGCUGGGCAUCUGAGAUCGGGACCAGCAUGGUUAGGUUCUGGUGCAGCCCAGAGCAGCAGGAGCUGUGCCCUGGCCCCUGUCCUGAGGAGCUCCCACUGGUCAGCCCCGCCUACUCCAGCUGGACCUUGAUGCUUCACACAAGGUGUGCGCAGAGGACACAGGCACUUCAUGGAGCAACAUACUUUUGUAAAAAAAAUGAAUUCCCUUGUAACAAAUAGAGCACGGAGGCUUUUAUAGAUUAAGUAAUUUGUAGUCUUCUUAUAAUUAUGGCUUCUAAAUUACCUAAAAUAAUUCAUUCAAGGCUUGAUUUUAGUUUUGUCUUGAGAGUGUCAACUCUUUAACUUGAGAUGCUGUAGGAUGGGGUUUCAUCUUGGGAUUCUUUUCUUGGAUAUGUCAUUUAAAUUCUGAUACUUAUAUUCCCUAUUUGAAAACACAUGAUCAAUGACAAUACCAAUACCUGAUUUGUGUGCAAUACUUAUAAUUUACAACGUACAUUAUUUUAACAUACAUUCUUUUCAUGCGACCCUCUCAACAACCCUUUGACAAGGCAAGUCAGAGACUAAUUACUAGAGAUUAUUCAAGCGACUUGCUCCAAGUCAUACAGUAGGCAGGCAGCCAAGAUGACUCUAGUUUUUCCAACUCCUAGUCCCACACUCUUUCCUCUCCCCUUACAUGUUCUGAUAUAAAUCAAACUUAGGUUUGAAAAUAUCUUAUUGAUGUAUUUCAACACCCCAGAAUUUGAUGAGACUGGAAUCGAUUUGUUGUGAUCUGUGAUUGCUGAAUUCCUCGUAUGUGGUGGAUACCAAGGUAAGUUGACUAGAAUGUGAGCUUGCCUACCCAGACACCAGUUCCCAUGUCCUUUGUCCGGUGGUAUAAUUUGAAGUUCACUCUUUUUGGUGUACAGUUUUAUGAGUUGAGUUGUGAAAAACAUAUACAGUUGUGUAUCCACCACUACAGUCAAGAUAUAGAACAGUUCCAUUACCUCAAAAAUUUUUUUCAGGCCGGGCGCAGUGGCUCACGCCUGUAAUCCCAGCACUUUAGGAGGCCAAAGCGGGCGGAUCACGAGGUCAGGAGAUCGAGACCAUCCUGGCUAACGCUGUGAAACCAUGUCUCUACUAAAAAUACAAAAAAAUUAGCCAGGCGUGGUGGCAGGUGCCUGUGGUCCCAGCUACUUGGGAGGCUGAGGCAAGAGAACCGCUUGACCCUGGGAGGCAGAGGUUGCGGUGAGCCAAGAUCGCGCCACUGCACUCCAACCUGGGCGACAGAGCGAGAGUCCAUCUCAAAAAGAAAACAUCAUACUCUUUUGUAGUCAACCCUAGCUAGGCCCCUAUAGUUUUGCCUUUCCCAAAGUAUCUUAUGCAUGGAAUCAUCCAGGAGAUAACCUCCUGAAUCAGGCUUCUGUCUCUUAGCAUAAUGCAUUUGGGAUUUACCAUGUUAUUUCAUUUAUCAGGUUUUUGUCCCUUUUCAUUGCUGAGUAGUAUUUCAUUAUAGGAAUGUACUCUCGUUUGUGGAUCAUUCUGAUCAACUCAGCACAUGUGGAUUAUUUCCAGUCUUGGCAAUGAUGAAUAAAGUCACUCUAAGCAUUCACGUACAGGUUUUUGCAUGAAUAAAAU
rnacentral:lncRNA from 10 species